UACGUAGGGUGCGAGCGUUAAUCGGAAUUACUGGGCGUAAAGCGUGCGCAGGCGGUUCGUUAUGUCCGAUGUGAAAGCCCCGAGCUCAACUUGGGAAUGGCAUUGGAAACUGGCGGGCUGGAGUGUGGCAGAGGGGGUGGAAUUCCACGUGUAGCAGUGAAAUGCGUAGAGAUGUGGAGGAACACCGAUGGCGAAGGCAGCCCCCUGGGCCAACACUGACGCUCAGGCGCGAAAGCGUGGGGAGCAAACAGG
rnacentral:rRNA from 1 species